rnacentral:tRNA from 1 species
GAAGAAAUAGUUUAAUUAAAACAUUGAAUUGUGGAGUCAAAAAUGAUCUUCUUCA